UACGUAGGUGGCAAGCGUUGUCCGGAUUUACUGGGCGUAAAGAGCGCGCAGGCGGUCGUUCAAGUCGCGUGUGAAAGCCCCGGCUCAACUGGGGAGGGUCACGCGAUACUGCUCGACUGGAAGGCAGGAGAGGGAAGCAGAAUUCCCGGUGUAGUGGUGAAAUGCGUAGAUAUCGGGAGGAAUACCAGUGGCGAAGGCGGCUUCCUGGCCUGUUCUUGACGCUGAGGCGCGAAAGCUAGGGUAGCAAACGGGG
rnacentral:rRNA from 1 species